AUUCUUUUUUUCAGAUUUGUUUUGCAAAUCUCUGAGAUGACAGGCAUGCCCUUUUUGUCAUUACCCUCAGACUCACUCAGUGCAACAAUUGCAAUAGAGUGUAUGAGCUGCCUUGCAUCCUGGAUUGUCACAGACUGAAGAAGCUGUGCCAUGGCUCUUAGAUAAAAAUCUUUAACCCGCCUUGCUUUCUUAUGGAGACAUUCCCAUUGACUAAUCAUCUUUAUGCAGUGUGCAACAUCUACUCUGAUGAAGCAAGGAGGCAGUUUUGUUGACUUCCAGCUGUUUAGUACACCAAAACACUCAUUUAUAUAGGUCUUCAAAUCAGAGUAAGGAGUAAAGGCCUUAACAAGACCACCCAGCAAUGCAAGGGAGAAAUCAGAAACAACUUCUUUUGGUACAGAUGCUCCUGCUCUUAGCCAUUCAGAGAGCCAGUUUGAUAUGGCAUUAAUGUCAUGCCGCUCAGACAGCAUUUGCACCACUGGGAUAUGAACAGAAGUAUCUCCAUGUGAGGACAGAACUCCUUGAUACAAAAAUAUAUGUCCUGAUGUUUCUGUUGGUCUAGUGAGCCUUUUGACUACUGUACCUGUAGCAUCAAAACUUACACUUGAACCUUGAGUCUUUACUAAUGUUUUGUAGACUAGUAGUUGAGAGGGGGUCCAAUAAUGGCAAAAAAAUUUGUCAAGGCCUAUGUCAUGAAUACUGCCCCUAUGAGGCACACUGUAUUUUAUCAGAUGAAGGGAAAGGAUGGGGUCUUUGUGUCCUAACUCCUUAUCCCCUCUCUCUUGUUUUGCUUUUCUUAAUGUAUUCAGGCUUGGUAGGUGGCUAGGCUCUGGGUCACCGAGUGCCAUUAUUUUGUAAGCCUCUGCGGCUCGCCACACAUGUGGCAGUUUUUUACCCUCCCAGAGUUCUUUAGAGACCUGCAGUCUUUUCUCUCCAGAUAGCAUGCGUUUUGCCUUCCCAGUAUGAAGACUUUCAUCAAUGUUAUCUAUUCUGCAUUUUAGCACUGCUGGUGUGCUCACCUCUGGUAGACUUUCACUGGAAAUGCACAAUUUUGCAUUGCACUCAGUACAGUGGCCAGCGAUGUCAAUGCACUUAGAUGCACUCUGUGGGUACACUUUUGCUCUUUUAAAUCUAAGUGUGCAGGCUAAUUUGGUCAUGUUCCAGAUCUUUUCAUUUAGGACAUUAGACCAUGUGCCAUGUUUCAAGAUGGUGUAAGUUCUUUCAUUUGACUGUGCAGCUUUGUUCUUGUAGACUGCUUCUUCUUGCCAGAUGUCAGUCCACUCUUGAAAGGGGAUGUCGCCUGAGGAGAGGACAAAAGAAAAGUAUGCUCAGACCCUCAAACGUGACAAUGAACUUUUUGUUGCUGGGACAAUGUUCUUUUUUUUUUUUUUUUUCUUUUUUUUUAUUAAAUAAAGGUUGCAUAAAAAAA